GGGGGAUUAGCUCAAUGGUUAGAGCAGAGCGCUCAUAACGCUUUGGCUGGGGGUUCGAGUCCCUCAUCCCCUA
rnacentral:tRNA from 2 species